rnacentral:tRNA from 2 species
GCGUCUAUGGCUCAACUGGAUAGAGCUCCCGGUUUCGGCCCGGGUGGUUGUGGGUUCGAAUCCUACUAGGCGUGCCA